rnacentral:tRNA from 1 species
CUUACCCUAGUUUAAAAAGAAUGUAGGUUUUGGGGAUCUUUGGUCUUCUAAGGGAAGGG